AAAACUCUCAGGACUUGCCCAGAAUUCCAGUUUUCGAACUUUUUAGGUCGGAAAACAUUCAACAACCCUCCACCAAGUAUGGAAAAGCUCGAAAUAUAUUCAAACACUCGAACCUCGCAAUUUGCAAAGGUCCAGUGUGCUAUAUACUUGGUCAACCAAUUCAUGCCCAACACAACAUCAAACUUCCCGAGUUUAUGCAAAGCUAACAAGUCCACGGGCAUGAUCCAAUCUCCAACCCGAAUAGGGCAACUGGGGCAAAACUCCCGAAUGUCCAAAGAAUGAUCGGGUACAACAACUCGGCCCGGAUGUAACAAGGAUACAAGUGGGAUGCCAUGCAGCUCGGCAAACAGCCGAUCAAUGAAUGAAUGCGAUGCACCGGUAUCAAACAAUGUUCUAACUCGAAUAGUGAGGACCGCACAAGAAGCACACAAGAAGCACCUGCCCCGACUGCGUGAAAACUGCCGCGGGUAGUGAGGACCGCCACAGAUCACGCAGCGAGGGGCCUGGCGUCGAUCGGGUCCUCCUCGCUGGGUAGACUAGCCGCGUCCUCGCGACUGGCUCCUGCUCCUGGGAUGUCUCGGCGGCCUCCGUGAGUGCGUCUGACUCGCACCCUCAGCCGCUGGCCUCUUGCCCUUGCCCUUAUCUAGGGCCUCGCGUCGCUCCUUAAGAUCUGCCGCUCCUGCCUCCACUAUGAAUGCUCGAUCCACAACCUCCCGAUAGGUCUGGAGGUUGGAAGACUGCACCAACCGGAAGAUAGAAGGCCGCAAACCGCGCUCAAAGAUGCGUGUCUUGUCCUCGUCGUCCCGCACCACAAAAGGCACACAAUGAAGUAUCCGGGAGAACUCCCUCUCGUACUCAGUCACUGACCGCUCAUCCUGGCGCAAAUUGCGCAAAUCCUGCUCCAUCUUCCUCUUGAUGCUAGUAGGAAAGUGGUGCACCAGAAGAAGCUCCUUGAACCUCGUCCAAGUAAUCGCUGCCAAGUCGGUGUUGGGGUUGUCCUGGAUAUCCAACCACCAACGGUAGGCCUCGCCGUCCAGAAAGUGAGUGGCGAGCCAAACUCUGUCUCGCUCCUCUACAAAGGUGUCUCGAAACAGCUUCUCCAUAUGCAUCAACCACUUCUCAACAAUCCAGUGGUCGACGUUCUCGCCAUCAAACGUCCUCGGGCUGCACCUCCUGAACUCACUGAGGCGCUCCAUAAGCCGAUCCCGCUCGGCACCCUCGGCCAUCACGGGGAAUGCUGCCCCUGCCACCGGUCUCUGAACAGGUAGUGCCGUAACCACCUCCUCCCGAGGUGCGGUCGCCGGUGCCGCACGUGAAGAGCUGGGCGCGGGGGACUGCGUCCUCGGUGCGAUGUCCACCACGGGUGCUGGCGGUGUGGGACCCUGGGUCUCCCUCAAAGCUGCCGCCUGCUGAAGUAGGAGGUCCUCAAGAUGCUUCAUCCGCGCCUCCUACCGCUGAGCCACCUCAGCCUGUUGCUGCGCCGCUGCCGUCUGCUGCGCCAACAGAUCAGUGAGAACCGCAAACUGGGCCCUCAAGUUACGGACCUCACUAGAUCCGGAAGUAGCGGAGGUCUCGACCUCCUCGGGGUGUGCCGCAUCAUCCGCCCCGGCAGACUGGGAGCGUGUAAUCGGUAUCGUCACUACAAAAUAUAAAAGCGCAAGUUAGUAACCCACGCUAUCGCAUUCCCGCUCAAAAUAGAUAAAACCCGAAUCAUGCGAAAGUAAGGAAGUGUCCUUCACUACUAACUCCCGAUGUUACGUUGUCGGCCGCCAACGUAACCCUCCGCGAAGUUAGAAGCCAUACACUCCGAUCAAACUCUAACUUUUUAGAGUUAUCAUAAACCCAAUCGAAAUACUUUCGCUCACAAUUCAAUUAGACCUCGUCUCUCACGAGCCUAUUUCCUAUAGUCCAACCGGCCUAAGGUUUACUAGGUCCUCUAAGACUCAACCCUAGGCUCUGAUACCAAAUUAAUCUGUCACGCCCCGGAACCGGCGGAGGCCCUCCCGGUAGCGUGCCCAGACCCGCUAUAUGUCUACACAUAUAAGGCGUCUACAAUAAAAGCGGAAGUAAAGCAAGAGAUAGAACAAAUAGAAUAAGUAGAAUAACUAGCAACUAAUGAUAUCAGAGCAAGUAAAGUUCUAUCAUCUAAACCAGAGCAAAAGAAACAUAACUAGACAAUGAUAGAGAAGCAUAAAGUAAUACAAUACUAUCUCCUCAAAAGGGAAACAAAGAUCCAAAAGAAGGGUGGUCUCUACACAUAUACGGGUACAACUCUCAACCUCUCACAAAAAAAAAAAACAACUAGAGGUAGACCACCUAUCGACUCGUCCACGAAGGAAGCUAGCUCGAUGCAACUCCCUUCCCGCGGUCCCUAGCCUCUCCCGGCGUGGAAGGCUCUUAAAGGAAACAUGAAACAGAGGGCGUGAGAACUAUAAUUUAUAGUUCCCAGUGGGCAAUUACUGACCUCAGCUCAAUGCACCACUAAGCCCCCCAAAAAAAAAAGGGGUAAGUAACGACAAUAGUAAGCAAUGAGUAAACUUUAUUUACGAAAGCAUAAUUAAAAGCUAUACUAAUGCAUUGCAAUUACAUAUGGCAUUUAUAUAAUGCACCUUUAUAUUGUCAUGAAUAUUAUGCCUCAAUAUGACCACAAGUAAUAAUCAUUAUUUGCUUUAUGAAGUUAUGAAGAUCAUGCUUGAUCAUGGCAACAAUGUAUAUAUGAAUGCGAUAAGCACAUCUCCUGGCAUGCUACAUGUAUGUAUGUAUAUCCAAGUACCCAAAACUAUGCUAGAAGCAAGUCCAAGUAAUCCAACUACUAUUCUCUAUCUAGUAGUGAUCAUAAUAAACUCAACACCGUGUCGAUUUUCCAUUUCCAAUUAAGGACCUACCAAAGGUAGUCCAGCUUGUGCCGCCUAAGUGCCUGUGGUAGCCCAACAUUCCUACUUUUGGAAUGUGUCUGUCCCACUCGACCCCGUAGGCUUCUCAAUACCGCACGAGCGAACAUAGGUCGCGUAGGCUAUCUCCGAAGUGUCGGCUUGUAGGGAGCGACCCUCACAAGUAUGUGCGAAUGAGCACAAAUGGCAAGCAAGCAUAGUCCAAGUCUCAAGUAUCCAAUCCUUAUGUCUCUAACAUGGUAUCGUCACUAGCAUCCCGAAGGUCUAGUUCUAAGUCACAAAUGAAGUUCCAACAUUCUCUAGGUCUAGUGCCCCUUUAUGACACUUAGACAUUUAAUGAUUAAGCAUGUUCUACAUUCCUCAAUGGCCCUAUCCACUAGGUUCACACAUGUCCCGAGCUCAAUGCCGCUUGAUGACAUUAGCUCUCUAGUUCACAUACCUUUUAAAUGGCAAUUUUGUCAUCUUUCAUGUCACAAGUAAAUUUAAGUUUAAAUGCAUAAAUCCGAACUCAUCUACACUAUAGAAGCAUGAAACCAAGUCUCAUAAAGAAUGCUAAAUGCAACCAUAGAUCUCCCAAACAACUCUCUACUACAUAGAGGUCCAAAAUUUCAUCAUAUGUAACAUAUGCAUUUUAAGCAUUCUAAAAAUCAUAAUAAAUACAUUUAGUAUGAAUAUGCAUGCUUUUUCAAUUAAUGAUACGUAAUUCAUCACAAAUGAGAAUUUCUCAUUGUGUGGCUAGGUCAAACCCACCGAACCGUCGCGUAGUGCCUGGUUUCGCCGAACAAAGUUGUCCCCGAGUCUCAAAAUACCCUAAAAGUAUCGAGCGAAAAGAUACACGGGCAUUACGAUCAUCUUAUAAUAUCAAACAUUAACCUAGAAGCAAAAGGGGUCAAAUCUCACCUCAAGAGAAGAAAUCUCUUCCAAAGCUCUAAAAGAGAGCUAGAACCCUUCCACUCCAAGCCCAAGGAAGGUUCUAAACCAACUAAUUUAGCUCCAAAAGUCCUAGAUUCAAAAUACCCAAAAUAAGCCCUAAGUAUCAAAUCUAGGGUUCCAUCUUGAAUCCAUCAAUAAAAUUCAUAUUUAGAGGGAGAGAGCAAGUAGAUUACCUCUUAGAAGCUUCAAUCCAAGCUCUAAACUCUCCAAGUUCAAGGAUCUUCCCUCAACUUUGCUCCAAACCCAAGCUCCAAGCCUCAACCGAAGUGAGGAAGUUUCUAAUCAAGCAAAAGGGAGCUUAAUCUUGUAAAAAUCCAAGCAAAAUCAAAUAAAGGAAAUGGAAGAGUGUGGAGGGCUCCCUUACCCUUCUCCUUGCUGGUGCCAAGCUCAGGGAAAGCCCUAGGGGCAUGGGGGUACUAAUAGAGAUGCCACAAUCGCGAAAAACACCCUGCAGUUCAAACUGCUCAGAAUCUGCCAAAGUGUACCGGUACACGGAAAAGUGUACCGGUACAAAUCCUACGAAAAGGCAAACCCGAGGCUCGGGUUUGAAAUUCGCCACAAGUGUACCAGUACAGCCAUCAAAAGUGUACCGGUACAAAAUGUGUACCGGUACAGCCAUCGACCUGUCACCGGUUACACCUCGUGCAGAAUGCAAUCCGAGGGUAGGCUAAGUCCAACUCUUUGGUGACCUUAGCGCUACAUAAAAUACCAAAAUUCUCGGGAUGCGAGCCAUGGGUCGGAACACAGUUAAUGACCCACCAGAAAGUCUAGAAAAACUCGGAACACUGUCCAAACACUCGAACCUCGCAAUUUGCAAAGGUCCAGUGUGUCACAGUCACUCACUAUCUCACCCGGGCUGCCCAAAACGGACCCACCCUGCCUGUAUCUAGCUGCGCUGUACACCACCCCGAGGGUAGCCGGCUCAAGAACUGUCCAACAGAAACUGCGACACUCUUCGCACUAAAACCUCAUUCCGGAAUGACAUUCG
rnacentral:lncRNA from 1 species